CCAGAAGGUAAUGUUGUCCCCACAAAUAGGAACGUUCGAAGACGCCGAGUGCGUCGAAUGGCUCCAAACUUGUUGUCCCCAUACAUAUCCCAACCACAAACCAAACAAUCUUCCAUCAGAAUGGACCUAAAACAAAUAGCUGCACUGGUAUUUGGAGAGGAUUUGGAUGCUAGGAAAUGGUAAUCCACUCCCAGGAAAAACACUUAGUGAGGGAAGCAGUUAUAGGAUGUUUUGAACCAGUGUAUCAGAUGGAUAUUCCAUAUGUCAAUGUUAACGAGGUCUUCUUACCGGUUCUCAUAAAGAACCAUUGGACACUGUACGUAUAUGACCUAUCAAACAAGAGAAUCCAACUACUAGAUUCUCGUCCUGGUAGGAAGAAGACAACUUUGAGUGGAAUACAA